CUACGGGAGGCUGCAGUGGGGAAUAUUGGACAAUGGGGGGAACCCUGAUCCAGCCAUGCCGCGUGUGUGAAGAAGGCCCUCGGGUUGUAAAGCACUUUCAGUGAGGAAGAACGCCUGGUGGUUAAUACCCAUCAGGAAAGACAUCACUCACAGAAGAAGCACCGGCUAACUCCGUGCCAGCAGCCGCGGUAAUACGGAGGGUGCGAGCGUUAAUCGGAAUUACUGGGCGUAAAGCGCGCGUAGGUGGCUUGAUAAGCCGGUUGUGAAAGCCCCGGGCUCAACCUGGGAACGGCAUCCGGAACUGUCAAGCUAGAGUGCAGGAGAGGAAGGUAGAAUUCCCGGUGUAGCGGUGAAAUGCGUAGAGAUCGGGAGGAAUACCAGUGGCGAAGGCGGCCUUCUGGACUGACACUGACACUGAGGUGCGAAAGCGUGGGUAGCAAACAGGAUUAGAUACCCUGGUAGUC
rnacentral:rRNA from 1 species